GAUGAACGCUGGCGGCGUGCCUAAUACAUGCGAGUCGAGCGAACGGACGAGAAGCUUGCUUCUCUGAUGUUAGCGGCGGACGGGCGAGUAACACGUGGAUAACCUACCUAUAAGACUGGGAUAACUUCGGGAAACCGGAGCUAAUACCGGAUGAUAUUUUGAACCGCAUGGUUCAAAAGUGAAAGACGGUCUUGCUGUCACUUAUAGAUGGAUCCGCGCUGCAUUAGCUAGUUGGUAAGGUAACGGCUUACCAAGGCAACGAUGCAUAGCCGACCUGAGAGGGUGAUCGGCCACACUGGAACUGGGACACGGUCCAGACUCCUACGGGAGGCAGCAGUAGGGAAUCUUCCGCAAUGGGCGAAAUCCUGACGGAGCAACGCCGCGUGAGUGAUGAAGGUCUUCGGAUCGUAAAACUCUGUUAUUAGGGAAGAACAUAUGUGUAAGUAACUGUGCACAUCUUGACGGUACCUAAUCAGAAAGCCACGGCUAACUACGUG
rnacentral:rRNA from 1 species